AACACAUGCAAGUCGAGCGGUAGAGAGAAGCUUGCUUCUCUUGAGAGCGGCGGACGGGUGAGUAAUGCCUAGGAAUCUGCCUGGUAGUGGGGGAUAACGUUCGGAAACGGACGCUAAUACCGCAUACGUCCUACGGGAGAAAGCAGGGGACCUUCGGGCCUUGCGCUAUCAGAUGAGCCUAGGUCGGAUUAGCUAGUUGGUGAGGUAAUGGCUCACCAAGGCGACGAUCCGUAACUGGUCUGAGAGGAUGAUCAGUCACACUGGAACUGAGACACGGUCCAGACUCCUACGGGAGGCAGCAGUGGGGAAUAUUGGACAAUGGGCGAAAGCCUGAUCCAGCCAUGCCGCGUGUGUGAAGAAGGUCUUCGGAUUGUAAAGCACUUUAAGUUGGGAGGAAGGGCAGUUACCUAAUACGUGAUUGUUUUGACGUUACCGACAGAAUAAGCACCGGCUAACUCUGUGCCAGCAGCCGCGGUAAUAC
rnacentral:rRNA from 1 species